GACGAGCCUCACGAACGUUAUUCGGAAUUACUGGGCUUAAAGGGUGCGUAGGCGGCGCAGUAAGUUGGGUGUGAAAUCCCUCGGCUUAACCGAGGAAUUGCGCCCAAAACUACUGUGCUCGAGGGAGAUAGAGGUGAGCGGAACUUAGGGUGGAGCGGUGAAAUGCGUUGAUAUCCUAAGGAACACCGGUGGCGAAAGCGGCUCACUGGAUCUCUUCUGACGCUGAGGCACGAAAAGCUAGGGGUAGCAAACGGG
rnacentral:rRNA from 1 species